rfam:Sphingopyxis indica strain DS15 genome assembly, contig: Ga0138993_102
GCUCUUUCCAUGCGCGGUCGGGCUUCCUAUAUGGGUCGUGCCGGUUUCGGCCGGCUAUGAGGAUAAAUGGUGUCGUGGAAUAGACACAGCGGACCCGGGGGCAGUACCCGGCGGCUCCACCACAAACCCGCGUUUGCCAGAAGGGGCGCGCGGGCUUCUGACGGGGCCGAACCAGGAUCGACGUGUGUUCAAAGACGAUGUUUUCUUCCGGGCUGAGUAACCCGUAAAAGGCUCAAACCUAUAAGUGCUAACGAUAACGAAGCACUCGCUCUUGCUGCCUAACCGAUAAGCCUCACGGCCUAAGGUUAGACAAAUAGAACGCGGUUCGGACCGAACCGGGCAACAGAAUCGGAUACC